CUUGACUGUAUCCUGGAAUUGGGUUCGGGCUUUUCUUGCGCAGCCUAGGUGGGAGGCUAUGAAGAUUUCCUUCCGGGGAAGUUGGAGCCAUCAGUGAGAGACCACUCUGGAGAGGCUAGAAUCCUAAUGGUGAUCCUUGAAUCAGGACACUUGACAGUUUCAGGCGGGCAGUUUUUCUGGGGCGGAAAUGUCAUAAAAGGUAACUGAGGUGCGCAAAGGUUCCCUCAGUCUGGACGGAAAUCAGACAUUGAGUGUAAAGGCAAAAGGGAGCUUGACUGCAAGACCUACAAGUCGAGCAGGGUGGAAACACGGUCUUAGUGAUCCGACGGUGCCGCAUGGAAGGGCCGUCGCUCAACGGAUAAAAGUUA
rnacentral:rRNA from 1 species